rnacentral:rRNA from 1 species
UACGUGGGGUGCAAGCGUUGUCCGGAAUUAUUGGGCGUAAAGAGCUCGUAGGCGGUCUGUCGCGUCGGCUGUGAAAACUCGGGGCUCAACUCCGAGCUUGCAGUCGAUACGGGCAGGCUAGAGUUCGGCAGGGGAGACUGGAAUUCCUGGUGUAGCGGUGAAAUGCGCAGAUAUCAGGAGGAACACCGGUGGCGAAGGCGGGUCUCUGGGCCGAUACUGACGCUGAGGAGCGAAAGCGUGGGGAGCGAACAGG